UUGCAGUUAAUUAAGCCGACCAGCUUCUUGUGUGGAAGUUCUGGUGUGCAAUGGCUGCAUACAGUAAACUCUCUCUCUGGUUGUGUACGUGCUCUGUUGGUCUGUACAGAGUGCCUUAAGGGACCUCCGAGACAGGC